CCUACGGGUGGCAGCAGUGGGGGAUAUUGCACAAUGGAGGGAACUCUGAUGCAGCGACGCCGCGUGAGGGAAGAAGGUUUUCGGAUUGUAAACCUCUGUCUUCGGUGACGAAACGAGACGGUAGCCGAGGAGGUAGCCACGGCUAACUACGUGCCAGCAGCCGCGGUAAUACGUAGGUGGCAAGCGUUGUCCGGAAUUACUGGGUGUAACGGGAGCGUUGGGGGGAAAGCAAGUUGAAGGGUUAAGGUACGGGCUCAACCUGUACAAGCGUGCAAAACUGUUUGUCUUGAGUGGAGUAGAGGUAAGCGGAAUUCGUGGUGUAGCGGUGAAAUGCGUAAAUAUUAGGAGGAACACCGGUGGCGAAGGCGGCUUACUGAACUGUGACUGACGCUGAGGCUCGAAAGCGUGGGUAGCAAACAGGAUUAGAUACCCUAGUAGUC
rnacentral:rRNA from 1 species